UGUGGGAGGGGGCUUGCUCCCGAUGGCGGUCAUUCAGCCGAGUAUUUAUUGGCUGACACACCGCUCAUCGGGAGCAAGCCCCCUCCCACA
rnacentral:misc_RNA from 1 species